GGACGGAACGGCAGCGCCGACCGCCACGCCCGGCCUCAGGCCGGUGCCGCCCGCCGCGCCGCCGCUCCACCGCAAGCCCAACCUGAUCGUCAGCCCCGCUAAAGCGUCUCCGGUGCCGACGCUCGGCUGGCCGGUCGCUGCUCCGGCUCCGCCGUCGCCGCCAUCGUCGCCGCCUUCCCCACCUUCCCCACCUUCCCCGCCACCGCUACCGGCGCCGCCGACGACCACC